CGGUGACGUUGAGCAAAUCCCAAAAAUAACGUCCCAGUUCGGGUUGUAGUCUGCAACUCGACUACAUGAAGCUGGAAUCGCUAGUAAUCGCGAAUCAGAAUGUCGCGGUGAAUACGUUCCCGGGUCUUGUACACACCGCCCGUCACACCAUGGGAGUCGGAAAUGCCCGAAGUCAGUGACCUAACCGAAAGGAAGGAGCUGCCGAAGGUUGAGCCGGUAACUGGGGUGAAGUCGUAACAAGGUAUC
rnacentral:rRNA from 1 species